UACGUAGGGUGCAAGCGUUGUCCGGAAUUAUUGGGCGUAAAGAGCUCGUAGGCGGUUUGUCGCGUCUGCUGUGAAAACUCGGGGCUUAACUCCGGGCCUGCAGUGGGUACGGGCAGACUAGAGUGCGGUAGGGGAGACUGGAAUUCCUGGUGUAGCGGUGAAAUGCGUAGAUAUCAGGAGGAAUACCGGUGGCGAAAGCGACUCUCUGGACGGCAACUGACGCUGAGGCACGAAAGCGUGGGGAGCAAACAGG
rnacentral:rRNA from 1 species